rnacentral:rRNA from 1 species
AUUGAACGCUGGCGGCAGGCCUAACACAUGCAAGUCGAGCGAGCGGCGGGCGUGUGUGUUAUGUGUGAGGAUCUGCCCGGUAGAGGGGGAUAACUUGUGGAAGCUGGGUAUAAUACCGCAUCCUCUCGGGUGACCCCAUGUGGGAUUGGCUAGUAGGUGGGGUAAAGGCUCACCUAGGCGACGAUCUCUAGCUGGUCUGAGAGGAUGCUCAGCCACACUGGAACUGAGACACGGCCCAGACUCCUACGGGAGGCAGCAGUGGGGAAUAUUGCACAAUGGGCGCAAGCCUGAUGCAGCCAUGCCGCGUGUAUGAAGAAGGCCUUCGGGUUGUAAAGUACUUUCAGCGGGGAGGCGUUACCCGCAGAAGAAGCACCGGCUAACUCCGUGCCAGCAGCCGCGGUAAUAC